UCAGACAUUCAUUAGUUUUUAGGCGACCCAGAUGUUUCCUGAGAGCAGCCGGGUGAGACAGAGUCCUGUUUUUAUGGCUCUAUUUGUUAAAAAGAAAUUAAAGAUGUCUAAUUUUAUCUCGCUUUUAAUUUGAUUUCGUCCAACUUUGGUGUUUAAGUAAUUUUUCCAUGUUGGUUUUAUGAGUAUAAUCAGUGUUAAUAAUAGUUAAAUGUAUUGUUAUGAAGUGUUUUAACUAUUUUAAUGGUUUAUUUUUGUUUUUGGCCUGGCGUCUUUGUGAAAAACAUCUUUACCAUAAAUUACACAGUGAAACCCAUUUUAAAUACACUACAUGAGCAAAAGUAUGUGGACACCUGAAUAUCUCAUCAUCUCAUCUGAAGCCACGAGUCCAAUCUGCUCCUGUAACGUCUUCCUCUCUUCUGCUUUCAGAGUUUCCACCAAACAUCGAGCCUGCUGCAGAGAUUUGCUCCCAUUCAGCUACAAGAACAUUACUGAGGUGUUAGGUGGUGAGUGCCCUGGCUGUCAACACGCUGUCACACGCUGGCAUUCAAGAGUUAUUGUGGCAGGACGGAUACCAAUAACCAUCUCAGAUCAGAGGGUUUCCUUUCUGAAUCCGGAGUACCCGGAGAAAACCCAAACAUGCACAGGGAGAACAUGCAAACUCCAUGCAGGAAGAUCCCAGGCUCACCCCGGGAUUUGAACCGGGGAUCUUCUUCCUGCAAGGGUGAAGGACGGGUCAAGUUAAUCCCUGGUAAUGAUCGCGGUAGAAUACCGGGGGUGCAGGUGGCAUUAAGGAGGGACAUCCCAGGUACGCGGUGGGAGGUUACGGUGCUAGGUAACCGUAUUCUGAUCCAGUGAUCUGGAUAAUCCUGGCCCUGAACUGUGAGCUUUACACUGGGUCGAGACGCCCCACUGACCUCAGCCCGGAUACAGUUUCAGCCCCGCAAACGAUUUCUCAGAGGCUCUCCCUCAGGGCGCAACAACAACAGCGACAUGAAAAGCACCUUUGUAUCAGCUGUCGUCAGCAAACAAUGACUGGAUCCAGGAAGAAUAAGUACGAUGCUUAAUCGUUACUGCGUAAUCUAGCAUUCACUACACCUUGACACACCACCACUUAUCUAGUUUCCUAUUUAGAAAAACUGACACUCUAAACACUCUCUUAGUUAUUCAUUUAGAGGACAAACUAGUGAUGUCUGACAAGCUACACUGCUGUAAUGUAAUGUUAUAAUGGAGGAAAAUUCAAUACAAAACACAUACUGCAAGUCUUAUAAUAGGUAAACAAUACCUGCUUUCACAUGUAGACACUCAAGUUACAGGUUUACUAUCAAAUUUUUGUAUCUGUUGAAGUGCAAAAAUAACACUUAAGCUCAAAAUCAGGUCUUCAAACUUCUUAAUGUGUCAUUCAGUAGUUAAAAACUCAAAAGAAGUUAAAUUUCAAUGAUUUGAAAAAGAAAUAAUGCAAUUUUUACACAUUCAGGAGGCACACGUACACAAAAAUUCUCUGUUUUUAAUCAGAUAAAUACCCACAAUUAUGAUUAAAAUCACAAUCAGCUUAUCAAUUAAUGAAUUAACUCUCACUUUGGUUUAAGUGGUGCACUACAUUUCAUGACUUAGCUAAAACUAAUCCAGUUAAACGCACCAGUCCUGCAAUAAAUCCUCUCUUGAGAUGAUUGAAAACUGUUUUAGAGAGCUGCUGAUUUAACAUGUGGAUGCAGUUUGUGUUGCUGUUGAACUGAGUGAAAGAUGUAGUGCAUUUUUACUGAUAUAAACGAGAUGAAAAUAUUAGUAGCAACGCCUCUUAGGGUAUAAAAUAAACACAAAGCAUCAACAGCUCUCUAAAACAGCCAAACGGAACAUUAAAACCAAAGUAUUCCUGGUACAUUGACACCUGAGUAGCUUUGUUGAUUGGAAAGUCUCUCCAUCAGCCUUUGAGAAACUUACCUCAGCGGCAGCUUUAAGCCUACAUCUGUGAAGACAGUGCUGCUGGAAGACGACGCCCUCGUCCGUUUACCUCUUUAAAACCCGGAUCUUUGUUUCAAGAGCCCUCUAAGAUGCCGUCACACUCCUCAGCUGACAAUCCAGUGGACCACAUCUCAGCUUCGUUGCACCGUCUGCCUCUGGAGUCUUAAAAAAACAAAAAAAAGACACACUGAGAAGAUUUGUAUCAUCACAAGGAUGGUCCAGAUUGACUUACACGCUGGAGCAGUGGAUCUGGUGACCAAUUAGAAAACUGUGGCGACAAACACCCGAUCCCUCUCGACAUGAUGGAGAGAAAAUGAGAAGGAGACCUCAGCAGGGAGCAAGCUGAGAGGGAUAAUCCCUGAUAUUUGUUCACUGAAACAGGAGAAGUGCUUUUCAGCGCCUUGCUUUGUUAAAUUUAAAUCUGUGCUGAAACACGCUGCGGCACCGUGCGGUGUGAGUGAACAUCCCCAACAUCUAGCUUCUUAGCCAAGAUGAAAUGAAGCACCUUCAGCGGGAGCGAGGCCUUUUAUCGGAGACAUUAAAAAUACAGCAGGGGCUGAAGAAGAAAAAGUGGACAAACAAGACGCUCUUUCUUAUGUUUCCUGGUUGCCAUGGCAGCUACCAAUCAGAUUAAGCAGGCCUGAGUGAGAAGGAGGUGAAAGAACGGCACAAAUCUGAUCACCUGCUGAUCUGCCAGGAUGUGAACUGAACUGAUGAGUCAUGACGGUGUGUGAGCCUGCAGGUAUUUAAUUUGUUUGUGAGCAGGGAAAUUAAAUUUUAAUGUGAAGAUGUUGUAUUUAUAUAGACUGAUACUAAAUUAGAGAGGAGAAGUCGCCUGGAUGGAGUAAAGAAAAGAUUCAUGUCAUCAAUAACAGCAUAUUGUGUCGAUUAGUUUGGAAAACGCGUUUAAAUAAGAAGCACAGUCCAGUGGAUUUGCAGUUUGUUAAUCCCGGACUUUUUGGAAAUAAUUUGACCAAAAGAUGAGUAACUUCUCUUGUCAAAAGAGCAAGAACUAAUGAUUAAAAGAGACAAAAAUGACGACAAAUAUUGCAGCUGUUUAGCAUCUUUUCAUCAUCCCUUUGUGUCUCUUUGCGGUUGUUUUGCAUUUACUUGUAUUCCUCUUCUGCCUCUUGCUUCUCUUUGUGGUCUGUUUGCAUCAAUUUCUGGUCACAUUGCAUGUUGUCGGGUUGUUUUUUCUCUCUUCACAGUUUUUCUGCACCGAUUCGUGUUCAUUCUGCAGCUCUUUUUAGUUGGUUUGGUGUCAUUUUGUAUUGCUUUUUUCAAUUGUUUCUUCUCUUUAUGCUCUGUUUGCAACUCUUUCUAGUCAUUUUUUCAUGUCACAUUGCUCCGUUUGUUCCUCUUUGCCGUUGUCGUGUGAUGGUUCUGUCAUUUUGUGGUCGGUUUGCAUCUAUUUGUGGUCAAAAUGACUGUGUGGUUCAGUGACUUUAUGGUCUGUUUGCAUCUUUAUAUUAUUGAACAUUCCAAUAUUGCACUGUUUUUAACUUAUUUUUUUCUGGCACUUUUGCUGCCAGAUGUUUACGGAUUUUUACAGUGCAUAUUGGUUCCAAAUAUCAGUUACUGAUCUCCUUGGUAAAUUAGUAUCAGCUCUAAAAACAACACAUUGUGACAAUUAAGUGUGAGAAGCAAGAAAUGCAUAAUUUGAGAUGUUUUAUAAUUAAUAUUUUUUAGUGCAUUCAGUGUAAACUCCCCCCAAAAAGGCACAAAUUAACUUUUUCCAUAGUAAAUUGUGUAUUCACUGUCCCUUAUCUUUUCAAAAUUUACAUGAAGAAAAAUAUUUUCUACUUUAAUUUACUAGUACGAGUGUCUUCUUCAAUUUAAGCUAUUAAUUGUGGUUCUAUGAUCCUUACAUAAGAUAAGAAGUUACUAAAUAGAAAAGAGUUGAUGGGGGCUUCUUAUGUAGAC